UGGAGAGUUUGAUCCUGGCUCAGGACGAACGCUGGCGGCGUGCCUAAUACAUGCAAGUCGAGCGGACUUGAUGAGGAGCUUGCUCCUCUGAUGGUUAGCGGCGGACGGGUGAGUAACACGUAGGCAACCUGCUUGCAAGACCGGGAUAACCCACGGAAACGUGAGCUAAUACCGGAUAUCUCAUUUUCUCUCCUGGGGAGAUGACGAAAGACGGAGCAAUCUGUCACUUGCGGAUGGGCCUGCGGCGCAUUAGCUAGUUGGUGAGGUAACGGCUCACCAAGGCGACGAUGCGUAGCCGACCUGAGA
rnacentral:rRNA from 1 species